UGCCUGUUUAAGUUGUUUCGAAUCACGUA
rnacentral:piRNA from 1 species